AACGUAGGGGACAAGCGUUAUCCGGAUUUACUGGGCGUAAAGCGCCCGUAGGCGGCUUUUUAAGUUGGACGUGAAAGCUCCCGGCUUAACUGGGAGAGGCCGUUCAAAACUGAGAGGCUAGAGUGAGGCAGAGGAGCGCGGAAUUCCCGGUGUAGUGGUGGAAUGCGUAGAGAUCCGGAGGAACCCCAGAGGCGAAGGCGGCGCUCUGGCUCGCAACUGACGCUCAGACACGACAGCAUGGGGAGCGAACGGG
rnacentral:rRNA from 1 species